CCUUAGCCACUCCCGGCGCCAACUCGGUCCAGAGAGGCCGGGUGCACGCCCGCUAUGACACCCCGUCGCCCCGCGCCCCAACCGGACCAGAGCUGCAUGCGGUAUGUGCUGGCAUGUGUUCACCUGUCCUGAGUUGUCCGCCUGCCGAAACCCACAACCUCCCGAGGCACCGCCACAGCUUCCCGCCCCACAUGCUUGUCCGGGCGGAGACUGGUUUCUCCUCAAGUUUAGGACCUAAACUGUUCUGGGGUCGAGUUGACCGUUCAUGGCCUGUAUGUCCGGGGUUUGUGGACAGGCCUUGGAAAGACCUCCUACCUGUGCUGGAAACCAUGGAUGUUGGAUGGGAUGUGGAGGUUGUGGGCCGCAAAAGAGAAAGAAAAGAGGAUGGCUGGCGGGCGGAGAAGAAAUCCAUGAGGACGGAGGGACUUGAUGCACUGGGCUCCAUGGGCAGAAUGCGCUCCGAUGACGCUUCCCGCUUGCACCCUGGAUGCGACCAACUACAAAACGCAUUCUUGUCGGUUGUCUCGGUUUCGCUUAUAAAUCGAGACGCGGCAGUAGAUGUAACCACGGAAAAAGACGGAAUGAAACAGACCGAUCUGUUGUCAGGAUCCAUGGCCUCUGAUCCUGUCUUGACCGUGAAACGGAAGUGUGCCACAUAUUCUUGCUAAAAAGCUUAUGAGGAUAUAGGCUCAACGAAGGAAUGUAAACAGCGACACCCAGAUGUGGGUGUAAGGAUGGCGGGUUCUUUCUUCAAUGUUUCACAGUCAUUUGUUUAAGAUCAUCGAAUAAAGACAAAAAUCCACACCGAAA